GGGCCGGUGGUCUAGGGGCAUGAUACCUCCUUGACAUGGAGGUGAUCACGAGUUCAAAUCUCGUUCGGCCCA
rnacentral:tRNA from 1 species